rnacentral:rRNA from 1 species
UGUCAGCGGCAGACGGGUGAGUAACACGUGGGAACGUACCCUUUGGUUCGGAAUAACGCUGGGAAACUAGCGCUAAUACCGGAUACGCCCUUUUGGGGAAAGGCUUGCUGCCGAAGGAUCGGCCCGCGUCUGAUUAGCUAGUUGGUGGGGUAAUGGCCUACCAAGGCGACGAUCAGUAGCUGGUCUGAGAGGAUGAUCAGCCACACUGGGACUGAGACACGGCCCAGACUCCUACGGGAGGCAGCAGUGGGGAAUAUUGGACAAUGGGCGCAAGCCUGAUCCAGCCAUGCCGCGUGAGUGAUGAAGGCCUUAGGGUUGUAAAGCUCUUUUGUCCGGGACGAUAAUGACGGUACCGGAAGAAUAAGCCCCGGCUAACUUCGUGCCAGCAGCCGCGGUAAUACGAAGGGGGCUAGCGUUGCUCGGAAUCACUGGGCGUAAAGGGCGCGUAGGCGGCCAUUCAAGUCGGGGGUGAAAGCCUGUGGCUCAACCACAGAAUUGCCUUCGAUACUGUUUGGCUUGAGUAUGGUAGAGGUCGGUGGAACUGCGAGUGUAGAGGUGAAAUUCGUAGAUAUUCGCAAGAACACCAGUGGCGAAGGCGGCCGACUGGACCAUUACUGACGCUGAGGCG